rnacentral:misc_RNA from 1 species
GAUGAAGAACGUAGCGAAAUGCGAUACUUGGUGUGAAUUGCAGAAUCCCGUGAACCAUCGAGUCUUUGAACGCAAGUUGCGCCCGAAGCCAUCAGGUUGAGGGCACGUCUGCCUGGGCGUCACAUAUCGUUGCCCAAUGCCUAUUGCAGUGCAAUAGGAAUUUCUAGGGCGAAUGAUGGCUUCCCGUGAGCGUUGUUGCCUCGCGGUUGGUUGAAAAUCGAGUCCUUGGUAGGGUGUGCCAUGGUAGAUGGUGGUCGAGUUAGAACGAUACCGAUCAUGUGCAUGCUCCCCAAAAUAUGGCCUCUAUGACCCACACGCGUCAUUUGACGCUCAUGACGAGACCUCAGGUCAGGCGGGGCUACCCGCUGAAUUUAAGCAUAUCAAUAAGCGGAGGA